AGAAAAGCAGACAUGCAUUUGACAGCAGCCUCGGAACUUUGCACGUUCAAAAAAUACCAGAGCUAUUUCCAGAAGCAGGAUAAUUGUGGUGACAUUUGAUCAAUGUGGGAGGAAGUGAUAGAUCCUUCUUUCAAAGAGCCUGGGGAGACCACACCCUGACACAGGCCUUAUUUCCCAACCUUUAAAUGCUAAGAGAAUGUGAGUCUGAGCAAAUAGCCAAGAUCCUACUGAGAAAUUGAGCGACUGCAUUACUGCAGAGAGCAUGGAGAGUUUUCUCUGAUGACAGAGUAUUCCCUGAGCAUUCAAUGAAUCUUUUACUUUUAUCGUGGGGCUUCUAGUAAGAAAGUCAGAAUGCAAACUUUGUCCUGACUUAAUUGCAUCUGAGGAGGGUGAUGGCUGGAAGCAGCAGGAGAAAGAAGGAAGCUUAGACCAUGCGAGCUUCGUCCAGCAUCCAAUGACCUGUCCAUCUUCUCCUUCCACUGUUUUGCCUUUGGGCGACCCACUUCACAGGAUAAGAUGAGGGACACCAUGAUAUAUUCUCAGAUUUCUAUGAUUUUAUGAGAAGUCUGUGCUCAGAAUAACUUUUCACUGUUUUCUAUUGGCUCUCAGGCUUGUCAGAUGUCGCGCGCCUAACGUCUCGCCGGCAAGAAUGACGCGCGGACACCAGGAUCCUUCUGCAAUAAAGUGUUUAUUGCAUCUUGAAGAGGAGAGAGUGAGCCCCAGAAUGGCACUGCUUUAAU